GUGGGGAAUAUUGGACAAUGGGCGCAAGCCUGAUCCAGCCAUGCCGCGUGAGUGAUGAAGGCCUUAGGGUUGUAAAGCUCUUUUGUCCGGGAAGAUAAUGACUGUACCGGAAGAAUAAGCCCCGGCUAACUUCGUGCCAGCAGCCGCGGUAAUACGAAGGGGGCUAGCGUUGCUCGGAAUCACUGGGCGUAAAGGGCGCGUAGGCGGACUCUUAAGUCGGGGGUGAAAGCCCAGGGCUCAACCCUGGAAUAGCCUUCGAUACUGAGAGUCUUGAGUUCGGAAGAGGUUGGUGGAAUUGCGAGUGUAGAGGUGAAAUUCGUAGAUAUUCGCAAGAACACCAGUGGCGAAGGCGGCCAACUGGUCCGAUACUGACGCUGAGGCGCGAAAGCGUGGGGAGCAAACAGGAUUAGAAACCCUUGUAGUCC
rnacentral:rRNA from 1 species